rnacentral:rRNA from 1 species
UACGUAGGUGGCAAGCGUUGUCCGGAAUUACUGGGCGUAAAGCGUGCGCAGGCGGUUGUGCAAGACAGAUGUGAAAUCCCCGGGCUUAACCUGGGAAUUGCAUUUGUGACUGCACGGCUAGAGUGUGUCAGAGGGGGGUAGAAUUCCACGUGUAGCAGUGAAAUGCGUAGAGAUGUGGAGGAAUACCGAUGGCGAAGGCAGCCCCCUGGGAUAACACUGACGCUCAUGCACGAAAGCGUGGGGAGCAAACAGG